rnacentral:lncRNA from 1 species
AAAAACAGUUGUUGGCAUGACACGGGUUAUGUUCUUCUCAUAUAUGUUAUGAUGGUAUGAUACUAAACCCCUAACGGGAAGGAUUGUGCCUGAUGUUCAUAUGAUGAAAUCAUAAUCUUUCAGUCAGUUUAAUUGAAGUCUGGAGCUGGCAUGUCAGUUAACUGCUAGUAGCCUGUUGUUAUUUAUGUAUUAUUGUCAUUUUGUUUAUUUUCUU